UGGCGGAAUUGGUAGACGCGACGGAUUCAAAAUCCGUUUCUGGCAACAGAGUGCCGGUUCGAGUCCGG
rnacentral:tRNA from 13 species